AAUCAACGCUGGCGGCGUGCCUCAGACAUGCAAGUCGAACGCGAAAGGCCCCUUCGGGGGCCGAGUAGAGUGGCGUCCGGGUGAGUAACACGUGGGUAAUCUACCUUCGGGUGGGGAAUAACGACCGGAAACGGUCGCUAAUACCGCAUAAUGCAGCGGCACCUAAUGGUGACAGUUGUUAAAGCGGGGGAUCGCAAGACCUCGCGCCUGAAGAGGAGCCCGCGGCGGAUUAGCUAGUUGGCAGGGUAACGGCCUACCAAGGCGACGAUCCGUAGCCGGCCUGAGAGGGCGGUCGGCCACACUGGCACUGACACACGGGCCAGACUCCUACGGGAGGCAGCAGUCGGGAAUUUUGGGCAAUGGGCGAAAGCCUGACCCAGCAACGCCGCGUGAAGGAUGAAGCUUUUCGGAGUGUAAACUUCAUAAGAAUGGGACGAAUAAGGAAGGGCUAAUACCCCUUUUGAUGACGGUACCAUUUGUAAGCUCCGGCUAACCCCGUGCCAGCAGCCGCGGUAAUACGGGGGGAGC
rnacentral:rRNA from 1 species